CUCUCAAGCUUUUCUCCCCUUCUAUUUGUCGCCAUAGUCUCCAUCGCUCUCAAACUUGCGUUUCUAUCCCUGUCAAAUCUUGGCUCACUGGAAAAAUCUGAAGUAGUUUAAGCUUCUUCAGCUUUUUGAUUUGGAUUGAAGAUGAUUUUAAGCCAAAAAGGUUAACGUUUUCUGGUAAGUUCUUUGAAUCCUACAUCUCGGAGUUCUUUUUUUUUUUUUUUUUCAAAUCUAUGGGUUGUGUUUUCUUCAAUUUUAAAAUAUUAAAAAUUGAAUCUUUUUUUUUUUUGGGUAAUAUUUUUCAUUAGAUUAUGCUAUGGGUUCUGAUGAGGCUUUGAAUUGGGUUUGAGAGUUUUGAUUUAAUGAGAAAGAUAAGGAGUAUACACGGAGACAGGGAGUUAGGUCAUUUGAAGAAAUGGAGAUUAGGGUGAGAGAAAAACGGGAGAGAAGGGGUAGCAGAUUAAAUUUUGAUUUUAUAAUUUUGGGGGUUUUGUGUUUAAAUUUUGCGUUUGUAAUUUUGGGGCUUUCAUGUGCAACCUUAGAACCACUUUGUGCUCAAGGUUUAUAAAAGGUAUGAAACCCCUGGCGUUUGCUGAUGCGUUUUUUUUACUUUCUUAGUAUGGCCUUUAAAUUUUUUUGGUAGUUUCUGUAGAUAUAGCCUACAAAUGUUGACCCGAAGGUUGGACAUAAUCAUUACUUCCUAUUACAAUUUAUUAACGUUAAUUCAAUUAACAAAAGUUGAUUGGAAUCUGACAAUGAUCUAGAUAUUUGCAUGGGUGAGAGAAUCUCGCUGACAUUUUUCGAUAUUUAGAUGGGAUUUGUCUAUGAAUUUUGUUUUUGUAAUUUUGGGUUUUGUUUAUAUUGUUAGAUUCGUUGUCUGCGCGUAUCAUUUGCUUCUGUUUUUCGUUUCAGGCGACGUUACUCUUCAUUUUUUGGGGCUUUUGUGUGAAGCUUUCGAAGCCCUUUGUGCUCAAGUUAUGGUAUGAGACGUGAUAUAAAUUGAACAGGGUGAGAUAAGCCUUCUGUUAACCAAUACGGGUCUAUUCAUUCUGGUAAUGCUACAAAUGGAUAAAUCACAUCAGAGCGUCUGCUACCCCUUUGUUACCUGAUUUCAUGGAUUCAUAUAUGUGCUAUCUCCAUAACUAUUAUCUGUCUGCUGCCUAUUACUAUGGAGGCUAUGAUGAGACUAGCAACAACUGGGAGGACUACUUGAGAUAUGUAAAUCCUGAGGGAGUAUAAAUGAUUUCUAAAGGAGGAACACCCAAACUGGAGGUCAAGCAUGAC